UACAGAGGGUGCAAGCGUUAAUCGGAAUUACUGGGCGUAAAGGGCGCGUAGGCGGUGCGAUCAGUCAGGCGUGAAAGGCCCGGGCUCAACCCGGGGACUGCGCUUGAUACUGUUGCGCUGUGAGUCCGGGAGAGGAUGGCGGAAUUCCCAGUGUAGAGGUGAAAUUCGUAGAUAUUGGGAAGAACACCGGUGGCGAAGGCGGCCAUCUGGACCGGCACUGACGCUGAGGCGCGAAAGCGUGGGGAGCAAACAGG
rnacentral:rRNA from 1 species